AAACCCCAAUAUGAAUUGCGUGUAAUCUUAAUAUACAUACAAUGUACUGUGAACAUGGACCAUGAUAGUAGAGCGUUAUGUCGUCUGCUGAUUGUGGAGUUGAUAGCUUUCCUUAUUUUUACAAUCUCAACUGUGCUUUACAUCGUGAAAGGCAAGGGAUUGGAUGCAAGCCAUGUCACCUUUACCUGCACUGUGUAUGCUUUUCUCCUGGUCAUCGUUGCGUUUACCCUGUGUUUUUGUGUAAGAUCAACAGACAGAAACAAUACAAAGAGGAAAAAUCGACUAAGUGCCACUGAGUUUGGGAAAAUGUCCAGCAGACUGAAAUUAGUGGACAAAAAGUUUGGUUCUGAUUGCGCUAUUUGUCUGACGUCAAAGGAUGUACAAUAUUCGCCUAUCGCUGAACUUAGCUGUAAACACGAUUACCAUGAACAGUGCAUCAAAGAUUGGUUUAUUACCUCCACGGAAUUUCGCUGUCCUCAGUGUCGAGAGAAUGCGGAGCGAUUUCCUAAAAGUACACAGAAAACAGCAACAGUUUUGGGAAAUAAUGUAUGAUAAACAGCCACCCUAUUCGUAUGUAUGACGAUAUGCCUGAGAGUAUUCCGUGAAUGUGGAAAUUCAUUCCAUGUGAAAAGUUCCCAAAUGGUGGAUUCGCAGGUGCGAUGAUGGGCCGUGUCCUGCUGUUAACAUCCUGCUGCAUCAUCAACAUAGAUGACAGACGCAGAUUCGUGCACAUUUACAAAUGUUUGCUUUGUUUUUUAAUCAGACAAUGAUCGACCAAUCUUUAUAGUGGAUCGAUUAAUUCAAUAGGGAUUUAUAUUGCAUGAAUUUCGAGUCAUUGACUUUUAUCGAGGAAUAAAUCGAAAUUAUGAACAUUUGAUUUCUUUGGAAAUAUCCGAACCAUGACCUAUAAUAGCACGUAUAUAACAAUGGAGAGUGCUGAUGUGUAUAAAAGCUAUGAGUGCUGAUGUGUAUAAAAGCUAUGAGUGCUGAUGUGUAUAAAAGCUAUGAGUGCUGAUGUGUAUAAAAGCUAUGAGUGCUGAUGUGUAUAAAAGCUAUGAGUGCUGAUGUGUAUAAAAGCUAUGAGUGCUGAUGUGUAUAAAAGCUAUGAGUGCUGAUGUGUAUAAAAGCUAUGAGUGCUGAUGUGUAUAAAAGCUAUGAGUGCUGAUGUGUAUAAAAGCUAUGAGUGCUGAUGUGUAUAAAAGCUAUGAGUGCUGAUGUGUAUAAAAGCUAUGAGUGCUGAUGUGUAUAAAAGCUAUGAGUGCUGAUGUGUAUAAAAGCUAUGGUGCCUAGCGAUAGCUAGAAAUAUAAGCAUGCAAAUUGUUGUUUAUAUCCUUGAGUCAACAUGUUGACAAGUCAAAGGUGGGUAUUUAAAAUGUAUAUGAUGUCAACAUAUUGCAUAAGAAUAAAAGUAUGUCAAAAUAUACAUCUUGUGACUGUUUCAGGAAGUUGAUCUAUAUACAUAGAAAACACUUGCUGACUUCACUAUGCAAAUUAGACCGGUUCGCACUCCUAGCGGCCGAGAUUGAAAACAAUGAUAGGAGUCCUGUUUAAACAAUGCAUUUUAAAAUCAAUAUAUGUAUAUCAUAUUACUGAUAAAUCAUUUAUAAAUUUGUGUGUUGGGGUAUUCUGACGCCCUAGUUCUUCCGCCCAGAGACAAUAACAUUAGUCAUCUAUUUUUUAUUUAAAUAUAUCGGAUAUUGACCACGUGAUUUCCUGAUCUAAAAAUGGAACGUGAUAUAAUCAUGCUCAAACAUUACAACUUACAAAACCAAAGAUAACAGCGAAAGGUUCACACAAUGGUAUUCACAAAGAACAAAAUAUUGUGGUGGAUUUGUAUAGAAAUCCUCAUUUUGAUUACUUUUGCCAUUGGAGUUGUCAUAAGAGUGGCAAACGAUGAUUAUAGUGACGUGGACAUUAUUGUCACGUUCAGCGUCCUUGGGUUCUGUCUCGUUUUGUUGGUUCUAACUGUAGCUUGCUACUUCAGGUCACUUGACAAAGAAACUCUGAAGGAUACCAGCAGUGUAAAAAUCAACAUUCUAGAUCAAGGAAAACUUUGGAUGAAGAUGAAACCUGUUCAUAAGGACUUUGCUUCCGACUGUGCAAUAUGUCUGCUUCCGAAAGACUCGACUUCCCACACCAUUGUUCAAAUCAGCUGCAAACAUGAUUAUCACGAUAAAUGUAUUGAGAAAUGUUUCCAAAAAACCGGGAAUGUGCAAUGCCCGGAGUGUCGCCAGGACGCCAUUGAUCAUCAAACCAUACAACCUACCCCCGUGUGACUGUCAGGACGCCAAGGCAGGUUGGGGUUCUAGUGGCUUUAUUUUGGAGUCUUCUGCAUGGUCAAAUACAGGUAUACUGCUGGACUCUCAAAGAAAAACAGAAGACGUGAAACAGACUGGAAGUGAAACUAACUCCUGUAUUUUAUCUGUAUCCCCUGGUGUGUAACGAUGGAUAAAACUGGAGAUAGCUGGCUCUCAUUUGCACAGACUCCAUUCCUCUCGUAAAAAUUGAUAUGAUUGAAAAGAACAGAUCUUGAAAUUCGUCGCCAGGACCCUCCCCCUGUUCAAUUUAUGCUUGUUAGAGAAUUAGUAUACUUGCUGCAAAAAGGACAUACAAGUAAACCUACAAGUGUUCAUGUCCUGAUGCAGAGAAAAAUAUAGGCAUUUGAUUGGACGACAAGCUGGGAAUAUGAGACUAUGUACCUUCCAAAGAAUAUAUGGAAUACAAAAUGGCGUCAAUAGAUCUAUAUAUCUAACCGCUUCGUAAAACAUCAUUGUUCGUUAUCUUUACCUUGUAUCGCUCUGCAGUCGGAUAUAUUCGUUAACGGUUCGGGAGAAUAUAAACUUUGACAGGGAAUAUACCCUGCCAAGAAUCCUUAUAAUCAAUAAUAUAUUCUGAAUGCCACACUGUCAAGUUAUAUAAUAUGAUAAGAGGUUUACAAAAAUGACUCUCUCACCUAACGCUACUCGUGUAUGUAUUACAGUGCAAUAAUUUUAUAUGUACUAUUUGUAUACAUAUUUGUACAAUGUUUUAGAUUAAAUCUAAAUAAAGAUGAACUGAGGAUAGUA